rnacentral:rRNA from 1 species
UACAGAGGGGGCAAGCGUUGUUCGGAUUUACUGGGCGUAAAGGGCGCGUAGGCGGCCACCGCAAGUCGACUGUGAAAUCUCUGGGCUUAACCCAGAACGGUCAGCCGAUACUGCGGGGCUAGAGUGCAGAAGGGGCAACUGGAAUUCUCGGUGUAGCGGUGAAAUGCGUAGAUAUCGAGAGGAACACCUGCGGCGAAGGCGGGUAGCUGGGCCGACACUGACGCUGAGGCGCGAAAGCCAGGGGAGCAAACGGG